GUCUACCCCACCAGCCUGCAGCCACCUAUCAAAAUACAUCCUUGUAAGGCUGAAGACAGCAUCCUAUUACUUGUUCUUAGUUUAGCAUUAGAAUUUAUCUUGGAAAAAUAAUAAAUCUAAGGAUGUGUGAAUUACGAGUUCAGCAAGAAGUUUUCACUUAAUUAAUAUUUCUUAACUGUUUCUGUUCAGAAUAAUAAUAUUAUAUUAACAAUAAUAACAUAAGCUGAAGGAAGAAAACGUAACACCUAUCCUUACCAUCUCCUUCUAAGAACAAGUCAAGGAAAGCAGUCCAGGUAUCUACAGUGGGAAGGUUUGGAUUCUCUCGGUAAUAAUGAUACAUGGAAACGGCAGUAUCUUUUGGAUUUCUGCUGAUAUAGAUCAUCUGUAAAUGAAGAAAAUAUGUUUAUUAAUGAUGAUGUUCUUUCUUUAUUUUGUAGGAGCUGUGUGCACAAAUGUGGCAUUUUCACAUGCAGUUCCAGCGUCAAAACUCUUUCCUUCAGGAUUUGUCCAUCCUUAAUGACUGUGUCAUUAAGAUAGAAAUGUAUUUGUUCCCGUUGAAGCAGAAGUAAGCAGUGGUUAGCAAACACUAUCUUGUAGACAAAGAACAGCUGCAAGAUGUCAAUUUUUGCCUUUCAUUGAAAUUAGACUUGUCCCAAAAGUCUGGAUUUGGAUAAUCCUGAAACUUAAAACUUCUGACAUAAAAUCUGCGGCCCAGAAGUUCAUUUUUGUGAGCCUCUCAUGUACACAGCAAACCACUUCUGGAAACUGUAAGUCAUUUUAAAGUUUUUAAGGAUCAACUAGACAGAAUAGAUGCCUAACAGACCUUUAACGUAUCUUACAGCUUUUAUAACUUUUUGACUUACCUUGCAUUUUUUAUUCUUAAAAUGUUGAGGCAACAUGUUGUAGUCUAAGUGUGUUGGGAUGAUUCUCUUUGAUGACAGUUGAUUCAGUUCCUCCAGUUUGGACAUGUCUCCAAGUUCAAUGGGAGUUGUUAAUGUAACUGGAGUAUUGUAAAGCUUUGUUAUGACUCCUGCAAGCCA